GUGAGUGGCGAACGGGUGAGUAACACGUGGACAACCUGCCUCAAGGCUGGGGAUAACAUUUGGAAACAGAUGCUAAUACCGAAUAAAACUUAGUGUCGCAUGACACAAAGUUAAAAGGCGCUUCGGCGUCACCUAGAGAUGGAUCCGCGGUGCAUUAGUUAGUUGGUGGGGUAAAGGCCUACCAAGACAAUGAUGCAUAGCCGAGUUGAGAGACUGAUCGGCCACAUUGGGACUGAGACACGGCCCAAACUCCUACGGGAGGCUGCAGUAGGGAAUCUUCCACAAUGGGCGAAAGCCUGAUGGAGCAACGCCGCGUGUGUGAUGAAGGCUUUCGGGUCGUAAAGCACUGUUGUAUGGGAAGAACAGCUAGAAUAGGAAAUGAUUUUAGUUUGACGGUACCAUACCAGAAAGGGACGGCUAAAUACGUGCCAGCAGCCGCGGUAAUACGUAUGUCCCGAGCGUUAUCCGGAUUUAUUGGGCGUAAAGCGAGCGCAGACGGUUUAUUAAGUCUGAUGUGAAAGCCCGGAGCUCAACUCCGGAAUGGCAUUGGAAACUGGUUAACUUGAGUGCAGUAGAGGUAAGUGGAACUCCAUGUGUAGCGGUGGAAUGCGUAGAUAUAUGGAAGAACACCAGUGGCGAAGGCGGCUUACUGGACUGCAACUGACGUUGAGGCUCGAAAGUGUGGGUAGCAAACAGGAUUAGAUACCCUGGUAGUCCACACCGUAAACGAUGAACACUAGGUGUUAGGAGGUUUCCGCCUCUUAGUGCCGAAGCUAACGCAUUAAGUGUUCCGCCUGGGGAGUACGACCGCAAGGUUGAAACUCAAAGGAAUUGACGGGGACCCGCACAAGCGGUGGAGCAUGUGGUUUAAUUCGAAGCAACGCGAAGAACCUUACCAGGUCUUGACAUCCUUUGAAGCUUUUAGAGAUAGAAGUGUUCUCUUCGGAGACAAAGUGACAGGUGGUGCAUGGUCGUCGUCAGCUCGUGUCGUGAGAUGUUGGGUUAAGUCCCGCAACGAGCGCAACCCUUAUUGUUAGUUGCCAGCAUUCAGAUGGGCACUCUAGCGAGACUGCCGGUGACAAACCGGAGGAAGGCGGGGACGACGUCAGAUCAUCAUGCCCCUUAUGACCUGGGCUACACACGUGCUACAAUGGCGUAUACAACGAGUUGCCAACCCGCGAGGGUGAGCUAAUCUCUUAAAGUACGUCUCAGUUCGGA
rnacentral:rRNA from 1 species